GGGAAACAGCUUUAUAACAGCUGGCUGUUGACCUGCUCUUGUCUGACACCACCCAGGCUCGUCAUGACAUCACUAUGCAAAUCAAGCCCGGCUAGUCCACCUUAAUGUGUUUUUUUUUUUUUCUUUGCUUUGCUUUUUCAAGGAAGUUGUAUGUGCACCUUGCUCUGUCUUGGCUGCCAGAGCAAGACCUGCCAUAGUUUUGUCAGGCAUGUGAUCGAAAAAUGGAUUUUUUAAAAAGAGUAGUGCCUUCAGCCAUGUCUGGAGAAGUGGUCUUAGGCCUUGGGGGCACUCUGCGCGAAAGCUCACCCAGGCUCCUGAAAAUGAGAAGAGUGAGCCUGAUGUCACUAGGACAAACCAUAGACGAGGACCACGAGACUGACUUCCAGAAGCAAAACAUGAACAGACACAGAAGACGGCCUCUAG